AACAGGUUGCAAGUCGGAUAUAUUCUUCUUUGGUGAUCUAGUUGUAUGAGUGUUUUAUAUAUCAUAAAGCUGGUUCAGCAAAGCAGAUUGCAUUCGACUCUUCGACGAGCC